GACGAACGCUGGCGGCGUGCUUAACACAUGCAAGUCGAACGGAAAGGCCCUGCUUUUGUGGGGUGCUCGAGUGGCGAACGGGUGAGUAACACGUGAGUAACCUGCCCUUGACUUUGGGAUAACUUCAGGAAACUGGGGCUAAUACCGGAUAGGAGCUCCUGCUGCAUGGUGGGGGUUGGAAAGUUUCGGCGGUUAGGGAUGGACUCGCGGCUUAUCAGCUUGUUGGUGGGGUAGUGGCUUACCAAGGCUUUGACGGGUAGCCGGCCUGGGAGGGUGACCGGCCACAUUGGGACUGAGGUACGGCCCAGACUCCUACGGGAGGCAGCAGUGGGGAAUAUUGCACAAUGGGCGGAAGCCUGAUGCAGCAACGCCGCGUGCGGGAUGACGGCCUUCGGGUUGUAAACCGCUUUCGCCUGUGACGAAGCGUGAGUGACGGUAAUGGGUAAAGAAGCACCGGCUAACUACGUG
rnacentral:rRNA from 1 species